UAGAGUUUGAUCAUGGCUCAGGAUGAACGCUGACAGAAUGCUUAACACAUGCAAGUCGACUGGAAUUCACUUCGGUGAUAGUACGGUGGCGGACGGGUGAGUAACGCGUAAAGAACUUGCCCUCUAGACUGGGACAACUGUUGGAAACGACAGCUAAUACCGGAUAUUAUGAGAACCUCGCAUGGGGAACUUAUGAAAGCUAUAUGCGCUAGAGGAGAGCUUUGCGUGCCAUUAGGUAGUUGGUAGGGUAAUGGCCUACCAAGCCGACGAUGGCUAGCCGGCCUGAGAGGGUGAACGGCCACAAGGGGACUGAGACACGGCCCUUACUCCUACGGGAGGCAGCAGUGGGGAAUAUUGGACAAUGGACCAAAAGUCUGAUCCAGCAAUUCUGUGUGCACGAUGAAGGUUUUCGGAUCGUAAAGUGCUUUCAACUGGGAAGAAAAAAAUGACGGUACCAGUAGAAGAAGCGACGGCUAAAUACGUGCCAGCAGCCGCGGUAAUACGUAUGUCGCAAGCGUUAUCCGGAAUUAUUGGGCGUAAAGCGCGUCUAGGCGGUCUUUUAAGUCUGAUGUGAAAAUGCGGGGCUCAACUCCGUAUUGCGUUGGAAACUGGAAGACUAGAGUAUC
rnacentral:rRNA from 1 species